rnacentral:rRNA from 1 species
GGCUAACGCUGGCGGCGUGUCUUAGCCAUGCAAGUCGAGCGGACUUAUGGGGUACUUAAAUAAGUCAGCGGCGGACGGCGGAGUAACACGUAGCUAACCUACCCUCUGGACGGGGGAUAACCUACCGAAAGGUGGGCUAAUACCCGAUGUAGUCAUCCUGUAUAGGGGUGAUGAAAGGUGGGCUUCUGUUUACAAGCUCAUGCUGGAGGAGGGGGCUGCGGCCUAUCAGGUAGUUGGUAGGGUAAUAGCCUACCAAGCCGAUGACGGGUAGCCGGCCUGAGAGGGUGACCGGCCCGAGGGGCACUGAGAUACGGGUCCCACUCCUACGGGAGGCAGCAGGCUAGAAAUUUGGGCAAUGGGGGAAACCCUGACCCAGUGACGCCGCGUGCAGGAAGGAGCCCUUCGGGGUGUAAACUGCUGUCGUGUAGGGAGAAGGGUACUAAGGUGAACAAUCUUAGUACUUGACGGUACUACAGGAGGAAGCCCAGGCUAACCUCGUG